rnacentral:lncRNA from 1 species
GGAGAGUCUGCCUUGCACUGGGGAGCCCAGAACUGACCCAGUGCUCCGCACGAGCCCAGUGCUUUCUGCGGCCCUCCAUAGCCUCCCAGGGCCACCAGUCCUGCCCAGUGCCGCCAGGUCAACACACCCAGUGCUGAGUAUGUGGCCAUCUCCUUCCCCAGGCACAAAUCGAGGCGAUGGGGGCAUUGGCAGCAGCGAUGGUGAUGAAGUCCGUUAGUCAGGAGGAGCUGGAGGAGCUGCAGCUGUAGACCCGUGGCACUACGGGGGAACCUGCAGGGCUGCAGUGUGUGCCCGGCGCCUCUGGUCCUGCUGCUGGGCACCGCUGGGUGCAGCGCGGCUCCGUCCUCUCUGCACCUCCCUGCAGGGACUGAUGGCCGUGCCUGGGAUCCCCCUGAGCCUCCUCUUCUGCAGGCCGAGCCGCCCCAGCUCUCCCGCAAUCCCAGCCCAACCAUUCCCCAUCCCUACGUUCCCACUCAGUGCUGACUGAGGAGGGGAGAGGAUUUUGGAGGGGGCAGCCCUGGGACACAACCCUUUGUGCUGCCCUGCAGUUGGAAAAUGGGGUCUGGUGGUGCUUUGGUGCUGCAGGAACAAAAGGAACAUGCAGGCACAUGCACGCACAUGGAGGUGAAGGAAAGUGGAUACAAAACAUUUAAUAAUUUAAUGCAAUUUAAUGUAAUUUAACAUAAUUCAAAACAGUCGAAGGUGGUGUUGGUGGACAGCCCAGGUUUGGAGGGGUAGGGCUGGGGCCGGUGCUGGUGCCCCUGGAGCACUGCCGCUGCUCUCUGUGCGCCGCGGGGGCCGGCGAGGAGCCCAGGGCUGCAGGGAGCCGUCUUUGUUGGCUAUGGCCGUGUCUCCUGCUGCACCAC